rnacentral:tRNA from 2 species
CACGCCGCCUGGGCGAAGGUCUUCUGCGGCGCACCGCCGGCGAUGGUGCCGUCGGCGUUCAGGUCCUCGCCGGCGAGG